rfam:Paraburkholderia caribensis strain Bcrs1W chromosome 1, complete sequence.
CGGCAAGGACGACCUUGCUGCAUCCGCUUUCAACGGGGACGGCCCCA